rnacentral:rRNA from 1 species
CACACUGCCGAGAAAAGCCUCUAGAUAGAAAAUAGGUGCCCGUACCGCAAACCGACACAGGUAGUCAAGAUGAGAAUUCUAAGGUGAGCGAGCGAACUCUCGUUAAGGAACUCGGCAAAAUGACCCCGUAACUUCGGGAGAAGGGGUGCUCUUUAGGGUUAACGCCCAGAAGAGCCGCAGUGAAUAGGCCCAAGCGACUGUUUAUCAAAAACACAGGUCUCUGCUAAACCGUAAGGUGAUGUAUAGGGGCUGACGCCUGCCCGGUGCUGGAAGGUUAAGAGGAGUGGUUAGCUUCUGCGAAGCUACGAAUCGAAGCCCCAGUAAACGGCGGCCGUAACUAUAACGGUCCUAAGGUAGCGAAAUUCCUUGUCGGGUAAGUUCCGACCCGCACGAAAGGCGUAACGAUUUGGGCACUGUCUCAACGAGAGACUCGGUGAAAUCAUAGUACCUGUGAAGAUGCAGGUUACCCGCGACAGGACGGAAAGACCCCGUGGAGCUUUACUGUAGCCUGAUAUUGAAAUUCGGCACAGCUUGUACAGGAUAGGUAGGAGCCUUUGAAACGUGAGCG